GAUGAACGCUGGCGGCGUGCCUAACACAUGCAAGUCGAACGAAGCACUUAUGACAGAUUCUUCGGAUGAAGUCAUAUUUGACUGAGUGGCGGACGGGUGAGUAACGCGUGGGUAACCUGCCUCAUACAGGGGGAUAACAGUUAGAAAUGACUGCUAAUACCGCAUAAGCGCACAGUACUGGAUGGUACAGUGUGAAAAACUUCGGUGGUAUGAGAUGGACCCGCGUCUGAUUAGCUAGUUGGUGGGGUAACGGCCUACCAAGGCGACGGUCAGUAGCCGACCUGAGAGGGUGACCGGCCACAUUGGGACUGAGACACGGCCCAAACUCCUACGGGAGGCAGCAGUGGGGAAUAUUGCACAAUGGGGGAAACCCUGAUGCAGCGACGCCGCGUGAGCGAAGAAGUAUUUCGGUAUGUAAAGCUCUAUCAGCAGGGAAGAAAAUGACGGUACCUGACUAAGAAGCACCGGCUAAAUACGUGCCAGCAGCCGCGGUAACAC
rnacentral:rRNA from 1 species